rnacentral:rRNA from 1 species
ACAACGGAGAGUUUGAUCCUGGCUCAGGAUAAACGCUAGCGGCAGGCCUACCACAUGCAAGUCGGGCGGUAACACGGGGCAGCAAUGUCCUGGUGACGAGCGGCAGACGGGUGAGUAACGCGUAUGCAACCUUCCCUUCGCACGGGGACAGCCUUCCGAAAGGAGGAUUGAUACCCGAUAGCCUCAUCAGGCGGCAUCGCCUGAUGAUUAAAGAUUCAUCGGCGGAGGAUGGGCAUGCGUGGCAUUAGCUAGACGGCGGGGUGACGGCCCACCGUGGCGAUGAUGCCUAGGGGUUCUAAAAGGAAGGUCCCCCACAUCGGUACUGAGACACGGACCGAACUCCUACGGGAGGCAGCAGUGAGGAAUAUUGGACAAUGGGGGCAACCCUGAUCCAGCCAAACCGCGUGAAGGACGAAGGCCCUAGUGGUCGUAAACUUCUUUUGCGAGGGGAUAACUGAUGGUAUGUAUACCAUCUUGCAGGUACCUUGCGAAUAAGCACCGGCUAACUCCGUGGCAGCAGCCGCGGUAAUACGGAGGGUGCGGGCGUUAUCCGGAAUUAUUAGGUUUAAAGGGUGCGCAGGCGGACUGUUAAGUCGGCGGUGAAAUACCGGGGCCCAACCCCGGGGCUGCCAUCGAUACUGACGGUCUUGAGUGCGGACGAGGAAGGCGGAAUGUGGCGUGUAGCGGUGAAAUGCUUAGAUAUGCCACAGAACACCGAUUGCGAAGGCAGCCUUCCAGUGCGCAACUGACGCUCAUGCACGAAAGCGCGGGUAGCGAACAGGAUUAGAUAACCUGGUAGUCCGCGCGGUAAACGAUGAGCACUCACUGUCCGGGCACGCGCCCGGGCGGCCAAGCGAAAGCGAUAAGUGAGCCACCUGGGGAGUACGGCGGCAACGCUGAAACUCAAAGGAAUUGACGGGGGC